AUUGAACGCUGGCGGCAGGCCUAACACAUGCAAGUCGAGCGGAUGAAGGGAGCUUGCUCCUGGAUUCAGCGGCGGACGGGUGAGUAAUGCCUAGGAAUCUGCCUGGUAGUGGGGGAUAACGUCCGGAAACGGGCGCUAAUACCGCAUACGUCCUGAGCGAGAAAGUGGGGGAUCUUCGGACCUCACGCUCUCAGAUGAGCCUAGGUCGGAUUAGCUAGUUGGUGGGGUAAAGGCCUACCAAGGCGACGAUCCGUAACUGGUCUGAGAGGAUGAUCAGUCACACUGGAACUGAGACACGGUCCAGACUCCUACGGGAGGCAGCAGUGGGGAAUAUUGGACAAUGGGCGAAAGCCUGAUCCAGCCAUGCCGCGUGUGUGAAGAAGGUCUUCGGAUUGUAAAGCACUUUAAGUUGGGAGGAAGGGCAGUAAGUUAAUACCUUGCUGUUUUGACGGUACCAAAAGAAUAAGCACCGGCUAACUUCGUG
rnacentral:rRNA from 1 species